CUUUCGGGCGGGGCGGACACCAGCCGCGCGCCCUCGCCGGGCGCCGGGACCGGAAAAUCACCGCGAAGGGAGGGACGAGGAAAGGCGGCGGGUGGCUUCAGGACAAGCUGUGAGAUAUCGGUGGGCGAGGAUGUGAUGCCUGAAGAUGUGGCAUCUACCUUGAAACAGUCAAGGACCUGAGGAUGAAGCCAGCAUCUGAGGAAGACAGACAGAAAGGAUCUGGAUACAUCAUGAGCCUGAAAAGUAUCUUGCAUACACAACUGGCAGCACAGAAUCCUGACAAACCUCUCAUCAGAAAUCAACCACAGACUCUUUAUGCUCUUACCAAAAUGCUGGCUUUGAGAACUAAUUAUGAAUGAAAAUUACUGAUGUGAUUUUCAGUCUAGGGAAGAAUAUCAAGUUAAACUUUAUGAAGUCCAAGACAAUGGGAAAAGAAGAGGUGUUCCUGUCCAGGCCCUCUUCCAGUUAGAAGGUGAUGGUUUCCAGAAGUCUGCACCUGUAUUUCAAUUACCUAUAAUGGAGUUUAUAGGACUAAACUAUAUUCACUA
rnacentral:lncRNA from 10 species